rnacentral:rRNA from 1 species
GAUAAACGCUGGCGGCGCACAUAAGACAUGCAAGUCGAACGGAAGUCGUUAUGAUGAUUUUGACAUGGACAGAGAACUUGUUCGAAGAAAGUAGAGAUUGACUUAUAACAAUGGCUUUAGUGGCGGACUGGUGAGUAACGCGUGAGCAACCUGCCUAACAGAGGGGAAUAACAGUGAGAAAUCAUUGCUAAUACCGCAUAUGCCAUGAACAUCACAUGAUGAAAAAUGGGAAAGGAGAAAUCCGCUGAUAGAUGGGCUCGCGUCUGAUUAGAUAGUUGGUGGGGUAACGGCCUACCAAGUCAACGAUCAGUAGCCGGACUGAGAGGUUGAACGGCCACAUUGGGACUGAGAUACGGCCCAGACUCCUACGGAGGCAGCAGUCGGGAAUAUUGCGCAAUGGAGGAAACUACUGACGCAGUGACGCCGCGUAUAGGAAGAAGGUUUUCGGAUUGUAAACUUCUUUAAGGGGGAACAGUAGAAGA